rnacentral:rRNA from 1 species
UACGUAGGGUGCAAGCGUUGUCCGGAAUUAUUGGGCGUAAAGAGCUCGUAGGCGGUUUGUCGCGUCGGCUGUGAAAACCUGAGGCUCAACCUCGGGCCUGCAGUCGAUACGGGCAAACUAGAGUUCGGUAGGGGAGACUGGAAUUCCUGGUGUAGCGGUGGAAUGCGCAGAUAUCAGGAGGAACACCGAUGGCGAAGGCAGAUCUCUGGGCCGUAACUGACGCUGAGGAGCGAAAGCGUGGGGAGCGAACAGG